rnacentral:rRNA from 1 species
AUUGAACGCUGGCGGCAUGCCUUACACAUGCAAGUCGAACGGCAGCACGGGAGCAAUCCUGGUGGCGAGUGGCGAACGGGUGAGUAAUAUAUCGGAACGUGCCCAGUCGUGGGGAUAACGUAGCGAAAGCUACGCUAAUACCGCAUACUAUCUAUGGAUGAAAGCGGGGGAUCGCAAGACCUCGCGCGAUUGGAGCGGCCGAUAUCAGAUUAGGUAGUUGGUGAGGUAAAGGCUCACCAAGCCGACGAUCUGUAGCUGGUCUGAGAGGACGACCAGCCACACUGGGACUGAGACACGGCCCAGACUCCUACGGGAGGCAGCAGUGGGGAAUU